rnacentral:rRNA from 1 species
AUUGAACGCUGGCGGAAUGCUUUACACAUGCAAGUCGAGCGGCAGCACGGGGGCAACCCUGGUGGCGAGCGGCGAACGGGUGAGUAAUACAUCGGAACAUGCCCAGUCGUGGGGGAUAACACUUCGAAAGAAGUGCUAAUACCGCAUACGUCCUGAGGGAGAAAGCGGGGGAUCUUCGGACCUCGCGCGAUUGGAGUGGCCGAUGUCAGGUUAGCUAGUUGGUGGGGUAAAGGCCUACCAAGGCAACGAUCUGUAGCUAGUCUGAGAGGAUGAUCAGCCACACUGGGACUGAGACACGGCCCAGACUCCUACGGGAGGCAGCAGUGGGGAAUUUUGGACAAUGGGGGCAACCCUGAUCCAGCCAUUCCGCGUGAGUGAAGAAGGCCCUCGGGUUGUAAAGCUCUUUCGGCAGGAACGAAACGGCGAGCUCUAACAUAGCUUGCUAAUGACGGUACCUGAAGAAGAAGCACCGGCUAACUACGUGCCAGCAGCCGCCGUAACAC